rnacentral:rRNA from 1 species
UACGUAGGGGGCAAGCGUUGUCCGGAUUCAUUGGGCGUAAAGAGCGUGUAGGCGGCCAGGUAGGUCGGUUGUGAAAACUGGAGGCUCAACCUUCAGAGGUCGACCGAAACCAUCUGGCUAGAGUCCGGGAGAGGAGAGUGGAAUUCCUGGUGUAGCGGUGAAAUGCGCAGAUAUCGGGAGGAACACCAGUGGCGAAGGCGGCUUCCUGGCCUGUUCUUGACGCUGAGGCGCGAAAGCUAGGGGAGCAAACGGG